rnacentral:sRNA from 1 species
GCUGGGUGCAGUGGCGCGUACCUGUAAUCCCAGUGACUUGGGAGGCUGAGGCAGGAGGAUUGAGAGUUCAAAGCCAACCUCAGCAACUUAUCGAGGCCCUAAGCAACUCAGUGUGACCCUGUCUCUA